UGACUGAUGAACUUCUGUCAGCGUUAAACUUUGUGUUUCAAGCGCCGUUAUUACCUGCCCUUGACUUGGUGGACAACAGUCAUGUGACACGUCUCGUCUCUCCAUCAGGACGCUGUUUGUUCCAGGUUGUGGGAAGUUCAGGGACUCCCUAUGUCUGCCUGCCCUCCUCCAUCUACUGUGCCUGUCCAGCCUUCAAGUUCUCAGGUAGGUGAGGCUCCAGAGGGGCAUUCUCACUGGAUGAGAAAAGCACUAGACUUAGCUCACGAGGCUCUAGAAGCUGGGGAGGUACCAGUAGGAUGUAUCUUUGUUUUUGAAGAAGCGAUUAUUGCUAAAGGAAGGAAUGAAGUGAACGAAACUAAAAACGCGACGAGACAUGCGGAGAUGGUGGCAGCUGAUCACGUGAUGAAGUGGUGUGAGAAAAAUGGACGAAAGAAAGAGGACGUCUUUGCACGUUUGACUCUGUAUGUGACGGUUGAGCCGUGCAUCAUGUGCGCGGGAGCUCUGAGACUCUUGGGCAUCCCCUUGGUGGUGUACGGCUGUAAUAAUGAGCGUUUUGGUGGUUGCGGAUCAGUUUUACACGUCGACACGGAUGUUAUCCCGGACCAGGGGCCACCAUUACAGUGUGUCCGAGGUGUAUUCGCUGAGGAGGCUGUACAGCUGUUAAAAGACUUUUACAAGGGAGAGAAUCCAAAUGCACCUGAUGAAAAACGUAAAGUGAAGAAAUGAGUUUCGGAGUUGAAACGGAUAAGUAAUGGGAAACAGGCCUCAUUUGUGGCCUGGACCAAAUUAUGUGGGCUGUAUCCUUAUAUCCUCCCCUGAAUAAAAUCUAGAUGGUGCGUAUCUUGGUCAAGGGACAUAACUUCUAGUAUUGCCUCCCACUGUUUAAUUCGGGCUCGGUGUACAGGAUAGCUGUGCUAUCAAAGUAACCAGUUACAACUUUUGUACUGUUACCACUGAACAAGAAUUGUGGGUUGCAAAGAAAUAAUUUGCACAGUUUUAUGAAGCUUGCACCUUUAUUUGUGACACAAACAAAUCAUUUUGGCAUCAUUUUGAUAAUAAUUGUAUGCACAAAUUCCAUUGAAAAAAGUGAGUUAUAGGUAGAAAAGGUUGAAGAUUUACAGUAUGUAUUUGUAGGGCAAUUUUGAACAGUACAAGUACUAGCUUAGUCUGUUAUGAUCAGUUAUUAGACUAACACAGACUAUUGUGGACAGUGACAAGCCAUUUAUUGUGUAACUUCUUUGUUUUUGUCUCUUUCAUGUUCUUUGUCAGUACUGAAGAAAAAUGAUCACAUAAUGUGUAAGCAUGUGUUAGCAGUGAAGUUGUCUGAGGCUAUGGGCAAAACACAGAGGUAUGAUGUGAGUGACCGUGAGAUUACCAACCUUCUCACACACCUGGACUGACCUCUCAGAUCACCAGGG